CUUCCUUCAGUUGCAAAAACUGGUAUCCGAAGUGGAAGUGAAGAUACGAAUAAACCUACUGUCACCAAGAUGAGUAAAGAUUCAGAUUCAACUGCUCAAACCUUAUCAGGAACUACUGAUGCAUGUAAGCUAGAAGAAAAUGGCAAGGAUGAAUUAGAGUCAUUAGCUCUGGUGCGAGAUAUGGCAGCUUCAUCAAGCGUUUUUCCAAAUGAGUCUACUGAUUCUGAAGGUGUAGAAUGUAAACAGCAUUCAUUUGUCACAUAUUAUAGUUGCUGUGAUUCAAAGUCGCUACGAAAAUGUGAGAAUUAUGGAAUCAACUAUGAAAUUAGUGAAGAGAAAGUUAUUGGGUCUCAAUUGCAGUUUCAAACAUCAACUUAUGGUUCUUUGUAUUAUGAACCACCGCGAUUAGAAACUUUUACUCCAAUAGAUAUGGAUCCUUUAGUUAUGCAUCAAGUGCAGCAUGAGUACAGUUCUAGCCCAAUUUCUUCUCCCGGUAGUUCCUUCACUCCACCUUGUGUGAAGAGUAGUUGUUUAAGCACCCAAAGCCCUGAAUCUAUAUUGAGAAUUGCUGCUAAGAGCUACCAAAACACACCAUCCAUAUUUCGAAAGCGAAAGACUGGAAGUCAAGUGCACCUGCUUCCUAGUAAAAUUGGUAAAGUAGGUCAAGAAUCUGUUGAAGACAGGUUACAGAGAAGAAUUGAGAAUACUUCAGAGAAGGCUGGGUCUCAAGAAGGAAAUGUGUGCAACAGUCCUCGUCCAGAUAAUAGCACCUCCUUGUCUAAUGGUAAAGCUUUUAAUGCAUCUCCCCCAUACAGGUUGAAAUCCAAAAGAACUGCCGUUUUCAAGUCUGUAGAAAGGCAACUUGAGUUUACUUUUGACAAGGAGAAAUGUGAGAGCACCAAUUCUGUGAAUGGGAGCUCUCUUAUAAGUGAAGAUUGUUCUCUUGCAACAAAGAUAGGAGUGACCUAGAGGACAACCUGGAUGCGGAAUGGGCAUAUUCUCAAAGAUUUUGGCCGACAGUUCCCGAGUGGUAACUGGAUUUUCCAGUAU
rnacentral:misc_RNA from 1 species